rnacentral:rRNA from 1 species
GUGUCAGCCGCCGCGGUAAUACGGAGGGGGCUAGCGUUGUUCGGAAUUACUGGGCGUAAAGCGUACGUAGGCGGAUCAGAAAGUAUGGGGUGAAAUCCCAGGGCUUAACCCUGGAACUGCCUCAUAAACUCCUGGUCUUGAGUUCGAGAGAGGUGAGUGGAAUUCCAAGUGUAGAGGUGAAAUUCGUAGAUAUUUGGAGGAACACCAGUGGCGAAGGCGGCUCACUGGCUCGAUACUGACGCUGAGGUACGAAAGUGUGGGGAGCAAACAGGAUUAGAUACCCUGGUAGUCCACACCGUAAACGAUGAAUGCCAGUCGUCGGGCAGUAUACUGUUCGGUGACACACCUAACGGAUUAAGCAUUCCGCCUGGGGAGUACGGUCGCAAGAUUAAAACUUAAAGAAAUUGACGG